rnacentral:rRNA from 1 species
AUGCGCUGUGUCAGCCUUGUUCGGCCUCAUCGGCGCGUACGCCACCAGCGGACGUCUCUCAUUCUUAUCGCACUGGUCGCCGGAGUGUUGGUUUUCAUCGUCCUGCUGCUCCUGGCACUCAAGUUUCUCAGUAGAUGCACGAUAUUCUUCUGCCGCCGAAGCAACGAGCAGCCGCAGCCGCAGCCGCAGCCUCAGCCACAUGAAGGAGGAGAAGACAUAGACAAGGACGAGCCCCAGCUCCAGGAAGGAGGAGGAGACAUUGACGACGAGGAGCCCCAGUCCCAGAAGAUUCCGGCGAGGAGCCGCAGACCCAGGAACAGGAAGCAGACGAGGAGGACGACAAAGAAACGGCUAGAUACACCAUGCGCAAGUACCUGA